AAUGGCUGGAUCUCAGUAGAGAUACAAAAAUGAUAAGCAACAGCUAAAAAGUAAACGUAAGAAAACAGCCAGAAAUAUAUAUAUAUAUAAAUACAGUAUAUAUAUAAAUUAUACAGUAAAUAUUUUUGCGUGAAUAACAUGUCAUAACGCAAAAAAAAAAUCUAAAAUUCAAACAUAACAAACGAAAUGAAGUUGUAUACAGUAAAUAUUUCCCCUUAUUCAUGUCACCUUCUCAACCAUCAAACGAAAUCAACAAAUGUAUUUAAUUAGAAAGUCACGUUUAAUCGGAAAUGGUUAAAGACAAGGCGCAAGAUGUGUAAAAUAUUUUCUGAUUUUAUUCACCAAUUCUCAACAUUAACAAUAAAUAAAAAAAUUUAAACAUAUUUCGAGAAGUGACGAAACAAAGUUGUAUACUAUACAGCCGCAUAUUUUUUUUACAUUACAUUUUUAUUUAUUACAGUAUCACGCAAGAAAAAUAAAUCUAACGUAUCAACAUCAAACAUUUUCACAUUAUACAUAAAACAUAUCGGAGGAUGUACAAUAAAACUAACAAUACAUAAUAAUUACUUAUUUAUCAUAGGGCCCCUAUAUUAUAUUAAUAACACACAUUCUAUAAUACUAACAAUAAUAUACUUUAUGCAAAACACGGAGACACUUGAAUCGCCCAUAAGUGUCUUUUCAUCAAGUCCGUGCAAGACCAUACAUAGUUAGAAAAGAAAAAAUUAUUGAAAACAAAAUGAGUUAAAGAAAACAACAAAAACAUAAUAUUUUAACUACCAAUGAAGCUAUACCCCGCCGGACACCAACCCGGUAUUUCUAAGUUUCGGGGAUAAUAAUAAUGAUUUACUGUAUCUUUAAACAAAUAUCGGCCUAGAUUUAAAAUUCUUGUUUUAAUAGUACAUUAUAUUUUUAUACCGGUAAAUAAAUUCUUAAUUAUUCACUGUAGGCCUAGGCUUACAUAUUUUCCCCUUUUUGUUAUUGACGUAUCCAGCUGUUAUAUGACUACAUUCUGCUCAUUAGCGGCUGUUGUGUAUUCGGUGGCCCCUUUGGCGUUCCAUACAUUUGGCAUGGCGGCCGAAAUGACUGGCGGCCAAAAUGAUCGAACACCCUAUAGGCAGGGCUAAAUGCAGAUAAGAUACUGAGUUGCAUCCUAGCAUGAAGCUUGUGCAAGUAGCUUGAUGUGUGCUGGCAUCUAUUGCUCGGUCAAGUUGGGGGUUAAGAUAUAGUUUGGUAUAAUUUCCUAGUUCCUAUUCGAAAUAAAUAACUCGUCGUUGAAGUCAACAUCAUCUCUCUGACUGUUAUUUCUCCUGUGUACACAUAGAAGUGCACAUUUAGUUACAGACGUACCGUACAUCACAUCAAUCGGUA